UACCCGCAGCACAAGUGGUGGUCAUUAUUAUUGGGCCUAAAGCGUCCGUAGCUGGCCUGUUAGAUGCCUGGGUAAAUCGAUGCGCUCAACGUAUCGAACUCCGGGUAGACCGGCAGGCUCGAGACCGGGAGAGGUGUAGGCUACUCGCGGGGUAGGGGUAAAAUCCUGUAAUCCUGCGGGGAGGACCAGUGGCGAAGGCGCUACACUAGAACGGCUCUGACAGUGAGGGACGAAGCCCUGGGGCGCAAACGGG
rnacentral:rRNA from 1 species